GACGAACGCUGGCGGCGUGCUUAACACAUGCAAGUCGAGCGGUAAGGCCCUUUCAGGGGUACACGAGCGGCGAACGGGUGAGUAACACGUGGGUGACCUGCCCUUAGCUCUGGGAUAAGCCUGGGAAACUGGGUCUAAUACCGGAUAUGACUCCAUGACGCAUGUUGUGGGGUGGAAAGCCUUGUGCGGCUAGGGGAUGGGCCCGCGGCCUAUCAGCUUGUUGGUGGGGUGAGGCCUACCAAGGCGACGACGGGUAGCCGGCCUGAGAGGGCGACCGGCCACACUGGGACUGAGACACGGCCCAGACUCCUACGGGAGGCAGCAGUGGGGAAUCUUGCGCAAUGGGCGAAAGCCUGACGCAGCGACGCCGCGUGAGGGAUGACGGCCU
rnacentral:rRNA from 1 species